rnacentral:lncRNA from 1 species
UCUGUUGGGAUUAGUGCUUCCAUUCCAUAUGCUAGUGAGAACGGGGUUUCUCCGGUGGGUGUCUUUUCAGUGGUUCUAUACGCCCACAGGAUCUCUGGUAGUAGAUCUGCCCACGAACCUUUGGCCUGUUCGACUUUUUCUUCAGUCCCUGAACGAUGGCUCUGUUUGUGACUUCUACUUGCCCAUUACCCUGUGGUCU